AAGAAAUAUAUUAUAUAAUAAAUAAAAUAAGUAAAGAAGAGGCAUUUGUUCUUCGCGUCACGUUUCUUAAUCACUCUGCGAUUCAUUCCUCUACUCUCCCUUUGCUGCGCCAAAAAGACAGAACACAAUAACAGAGAAAAAGAAUGGGCGCGUUGGUAGCCGGAGUCAUUCAAGAUGAGUCAGUUCUAAUAGACAACUCGGCCGGCUUCUCAUUACCGCCGGCAGCUCUCUCUCUCCUUCGUAGGCUCCGCCAUUUCAAACUCCACUUUGGAAUUUCUUAUUCACCGGCUCUAACUGAUGAUAAGGUGAGCCUGCUUGAAAAAAGGCAAUGCAGUACUCCUUUGAUUGCUUUGCUUUGGAUGCUACAUCCGCUGAUGGUGGCUUGAAGGAUAUAACCUUGGCUUGGGGAGGUAUAGGAGGGACUAUUUUGUAUGUUGCUUCUAAUAGCAAGAAGGAUGGUUUUAAUCAAUUAAGCAAUUUGGGCUGGAUCACUGUUGUCAUCGGUGAGUAACUUUGUAUAUAUGUAUGCUUUUGUAACUUUUAUGAUGCUAUUUAUAUGCUUAAUAGCUCAGUUUGGUUUCUUAUUUGGCUGCUUCAUAUAAAAAAAGGCAAUUGAUGAGCCUUCUUAAUAA